AGCGAACGCUGGCGGCAGGCUUAACACAUGCAAGUCGAGCGGACCUUUCGGGGUCAGCGGCGGACGGGUGAGUAACGCGUGGGAACGUGCCUUCCGGUUCGGAAUAACCCUGGGAAACUAGGGCUAAUACCGGAUACGCCCUUAUGGGGAAAGGUUUAAUGCAGGAAGAUCGGCCCGCGUCUGAUUAGCUUGUUGGUAGGGUAAUGGCCUACCAAGGCGACGAUCAGUAGCUGGGCUGAGAGGAUGAUCAGCCACACUGGGACUGAGACACGGCCCAGACUCCUACGGGAGGCAGCAGUGGGGAAUAUUGGACAAUGGGCGCAAGCCUGAUCCAGCCAUGCCGCGUGAGUGAUGAAGGCCUUAGGGUUGUAAAGCUCUUUUAUCCGGGACGAUAAUGACGGUACCGGAGGAAUAAGCCCCGGCUAACUUCGUG
rnacentral:rRNA from 1 species